GACGAACGCUGGCGGCGUGCCUAACACAUGCAAGUCGAGCGAAUGAAGUUCCUUCGGGAACGGAUUUAGCGGCGGACGGGUGAGUAACACGUGGGCAACCUGCCUCAUAGAGGGGAAUAGCCUUCCGAAAGGGAGAUUAAUACCGCAUAAGAUUGUAGUACCGCAUGGUACAGCAAUUAAAGGAGCAAUCCGCUAUGAAAUGGGCCCGCGGCGAAUUAGCUAGUUGGUGAGGUAACGGCUCACCAAGGCGACGAUGCGUAGCCGACCUGAGAGGGUGAUCGGCAAAAUGGGGACGGAGACCCGGCCAAGACUCCAACGGGGGGCAGCAGGGGGAAAUAUUGCACAAUGGGGGAAACCCUGAUGCAGCAACGCCGCGUGAGUGAUGACGGCCUUCGGGUUGUAAAGCUCUGUCUUCAGGGACGAUAAUGACGGUACCUGGGGAGAAAGCCACGGCUAACUACGUGCCAGCAGCCGCCGUAAGAC
rnacentral:rRNA from 1 species